rnacentral:rRNA from 1 species
AGUGAACGCUGGCGGUAGGCCUAACACAUGCAAGUCGAACGGCAGCACAGUAAGAGCUUGCUCUUACGGGUGGCGAGUGGCGGACGGGUGAGGAAUACAUCGGAAUCUACUUUUUCGUGGGGGAUAACGUAGGGAAACUUACGCUAAUACCGCAUACGACCUACGGGUGAAAGCAGGGGAUCUUCGGACCUUGCGCGAUUGAAUGAGCCGAUGUCGGAUUAGCUAGUUGGCGGGGUAAAGGCCCACCAAGGCGACGAUCCGUAGCUGGUCUGAGAGGAUGAUCAGCCACACUGGAACUGGGACACGGUCCAGACUCCUACGGGAGGCGGCAGUGGGGAAUAUUGGACAAAGGGCGCAAGCCUGAUCCAGCCAUACCGCGUGGGUGAAGAAGGCCUUCGGGUUGUAAAGCCCUUUUGUUGGGAAAGAAAAGCAGCAGGUUAAUACCCCGCUGUUCUGACGGUACCCAAAGAAUAAGCACCGGCUAACUUCGUG